CGAGGUAGACGACACACUCCGGCAGUUCCACUUCGUUCGGGACGAAGAGGUCGCAGGUUCAAAUCCUGUUAUCCCGACCA
rnacentral:tRNA from 3 species